GAAAAACCCUCUCUUACACUGUUCCUCACCCCACUUUAUCAGGAAAAGCACGAGAACAGAACUUACAUGACACCUGGCUGGGAGCAAAGGCUGCUGGUUUCAAAAUAGUCAACGAUGAAUUGGCGUGGAAUCUUCCGGCUGUAGGAGAAGCAGCAGGCAGUCGGGGUGUCAGCUCCAUCUGUAGGGGAAGAAAGUCAUCAUUGAACAGGCUUUCUCUAAUACCAGAAGUCAGCAAAGAAGACACCAGAGCAUCACCAUAAGACAUCCCAGAGGCAGAGCUCCUUAAGAAUCCCAGGGCUGGCUAACUCUGAAACCACAGAAAAGACUGCUAUGGUCUGCCUUAGACCAGAGACUGGGGACACCUCCUGUAGCAGUGUAGACUCACAUGGCGCUGAGAAGACUUGGUUGCAGAGUGUCAUGGUACAGAGAAGAACAGCAAGGGCAGUGGUGGAGACCUUCAUGAUGUUGAGCAGGUGACAGAGGGUGAGCUUGUCAGCAGAACAGAAAAGGGACUGGUACUCGCUGCUGCUUGUAUCCUUCUGGUGUCUGAAGCCAUAUGCCCCUUCUCUUAUAGGUAGCCCUAGCAGAUGAGGAAAUGGAAUCCGGGGCUGAGGAGGGAAAAUUUUAAGCACAGCAAUGGUGUCAUGAUGGAUAUUACACAACCCAGGGUCCACAGUGACCACAGGGGCCCAGGAUAUCUAAGAAUAGCAUCUCUGAGAUAUAAGUCUCAGCUCUCAACUCGUGACCUAUUCUUUCUUCUUGUGGGGAAGUAGUUUCUCUUAUGAGCAGGAGGAGGUAGGACAGUGUCAACCCAGGGCUAUUCUUAGCUGGUCCCAUCUCAUGAGAACCGUUCUGUGAAUAAACACUCCAAACCCAUUCCUUGCCAUGGAACGGAAACUCUCGUUAUUUCUCAGCUUCUCUAACCACAUGGAAGAAUAGCUGUGGAUGGUGGCACAACAGCCCCUCCUACCACCACAGUGAGGGACUGAGGAAAAGCAUCUCCAGCUCGAGCAAUGGGGAAGACGCGGUCACAUUUAAGACAUUUGUCCAAUCAUCAGCCGCAAAGUGACUAGGCCACUGGGUUGAACAUUAGUUGUGGAUCAUAAAGAUACUUCAAGUGUGGGCGUUAAUAUGUGAGAAGCCUAAAAAUAUUUUUUCCAUUAAGCUAGAAAUAGCCUUUCUAGGAAAGAUUUUUGGGGAAACAACCCAAAUGUAAAGCCAUCUCUAAAUAUUGAGACAGCUGGUCCAUUGUCAUUAUAACUUGAAACUAAAGAAACAAAACCUUUCACUAUGAAAAAAUUAUAAAUUAAAUUAUAGUAUAUACAUUGGAUUGCUUGUUUAUGAAGCUCUUAAAAUUAAAAUGACAUAAGUACACUCAUAACAUUGGUGAUAAAAAUAUCAAGAAACAUUGUACAAGUUUUACAAAGUGAAGAAUUCUACAAAUAUCUGGAAAUAUACAGUUUUUCACACCAAACCCAGGCAUUAUAAAUAAAUAAUACUGGAAUUUUUUUUUAAAAAAUCACUAAAAAUAAAAACUUUAAAGAAUUAUUAAAACUUGUGAGAUGGG
rnacentral:lncRNA from 1 species